GCUGGGCAUGGUAGUGCAUGCCUGUAGUCCCAGCUACUCAGGAGGCUGAGGCAGAAGAAUCACUUGAACCCAGGAGGUGGAGGUUGCAGUGAGCCGAGAUCAUGCCACUGCACUCCAGCCUGGGCAACAGAGCGAGACUCUGUCUCAA
rnacentral:SRP_RNA from 1 species